AUUGAACGCUGGCGGAAUGCUUUACACAUGCAAGUCGAACGGCAGCACGGGUGCUUGCACCUGGUGGCGAGUGGCGAACGGGUGAGUAACAUAUCGGAACGUACCCAGUAAUGGGGGAUAACUAACCGAAAGGUUAGCUAAUACCGCAUACGCCCUGAGGGGGAAAGCGGGGGAUCGAAAGACCUCGCGUUAUUGGAGCGGCCGAUAUCUGAUUAGCUAGUUGGUGAGGUAAAGGCUCACCAAGGCGACGAUCAGUAGCAGGUCUGAGAGGAUGAUCUGCCACACUGGAACUGAGACACGGUCCAGACUCCUACGGGAGGCAGCAGUGGGGAAUUUUGGACAAUGGGGGAAACCCUGAUCCAGCCAUUCCGCGUGAGUGAAGAAGGCCUUCGGGUUGUAAAGCUCUUUCGGCAGGGAAGAAACGGUUCUGGAUAAUACCCGGAGCUAAUGACGGUACCUGAAGAAGAAGCACCGGCUAACUACGUGCCAGCCGCCGCAGUAA
rnacentral:rRNA from 1 species